CGCCGAAGACUUAAUGCAGUUUUCCUUCUUCCUCCGGAUCUAAAGACCGCGAGAGGUCUCUCAGAUCCAGAAGAAGCCUCGAUCGGGGCACUUAUUUUUUUCUCGCACUCCAGAUCUCCUUCACGCCAGGACGAGGCCGGCCUUCCUCUCUCGUUUUUUUUCUCUCUGCUAUUUGGACACAAAGAGGACGGAACUCCCUAACCCCCGGCUUCGGCUCUCUCAUUCGCGAAUCCAGGAGAAAGAACGAAGCUUCCGCCUCCCUCCCUCUCCUUGUCGUCUCUGGUUCGCGAGAUACCCGACGCCGGACCACCUCUGCCUCCCACGUUUGAAACCGCCGGUCUCUCUCCGUUGGCAAGGUGAGCUCCUACCCUUCCUUUUCUUAUCCUACUCCCUCUUCUUCCUUCUUCUUAUUAUUCUUUUCCCCUUCUUCUUCUUAUCCUUACAAACUUUAUUUUUCUUAUACGAUUGAUAACUUCCCCACUCUCAUAACCUAUAAGAGGAAACUCUUCUCUCGAAUUCAUGACAAAGGUAGAGACGAACAGCUUAUAAUUCUACCGAGUUUUUGCAAAGUGGUAUAGAGCUCGAAAUGUUCAUCUCCGGAAGCUCUUUUGAGUCCCUUAGGAAUGUGAUGAGUGGAACCGACCGCUCGCUGCCUUUCCUUCUGGACGGCCUCGUCGUACUCCCAGAUUGUGGUCACUCAAUUGGCCUGGCAUCAUCCUGCACCCUACAGAAUGUCCUCGUGGUCUUGUCCGAUGGCAACUGCGGGAACUUCCUGUGGCUUCCUUCGGGCACAUGAGCUUUUCUUAUGACUUACUCUUUGCCUGGAGUUGUCGGUUCGAGCCACACCUGAAUCCGGACCGCCUCGCGUUCUUUUGUGUUUGUUCUGUUGUCUUUUUUAUAUAUUUUGUUACAUCUUUCAAUUUAUUUUAUAAAGUUUUUUUUUGUUCUU